rnacentral:rRNA from 1 species
UAAAGCAAGAAAGGGCGUAUGGGGAAUGCCUAGGCACACUCCGGCGAAGAAGGACGCAGCAAACAGCGAAAUGCGACGGUGAGCGGUAAGCACGUGAAGAGCCGUCGAUAUCCGAAUGGGGGAACCCACACGGAGUCAUAUCCGUGUAUCACAUGUCGAAUACAUAGACAUGAUGAGGCGAGACGCAGGGAACUGAAACAUCUAAGUACCUGCAGGAAGAGAAAAUAAGAAUGAUUUUCUGAGUAGCGGCGAGCGAAAGGGAAAGAGCCCAAACCGAUCUGAGGAUCGGGGUAGUAGGAUCAUCAAUAAAUCUGACAGAGGAUCAUAGAGGAAUCACAUGGGAAGGUGAGCGAGAGAGGGUGAGAGCCCCGUACUCGAAAUGAGAGACUGGAGAGAGAUGACACCUGAGUAGGGCGGGACACGAGGAAUCCUGUCUGAAUCGGCCGGGACCAUCCGGCAAGGCUAAAUACGAGAGUAGUGACCGAUAGUGAACCAGUACCGUGAGGGAAAGGUGAAAAGAACCCCGGGAGGGGAGUGAAAGAGAACCUGAAACCAUAUGCCUACAAGAAGUCAGAGCCCGUUAAAGGGUGAUGGCGUGCCUUUUGUAGAAUGAACCGGCGAGUUACUGUAUGGAGCGAGGUUAAGCAGGAUAUGCGGAGCCGAAGCGAAAGCGAGUCUUAAGAGGGCGAAAGUUGCAUGCAGUAGACCCGAAACCGGGUGAUCUAGCCAUGACCAGGUUGAAGUUGGGGUAAAACCCGAUGGAGGACCGAACCGACCCCCGUUGAAACGUUGGCGGAUGAGUUGUGGCUAGGGGUGAAAUUCCAAUCGAACCCGGAGAUAGCUGGUUCUCCCCGAAAUAGCUUUAGGGCUAGCGUCGAGGUAGAGAGUUGCGUGAAGGUAGAGCACUGAAUAUGUGAUGGCCCCAUCUCGGGGUACUGAGCAUAAUCAAACUGCGAAUGUCACGGAAACAUACUCGGCAGUCAGACAGCGGGUGAUAAGGUCCGUUGUCAAGAGGGAAACAGCCCAGACCAUCAGCUAAGGUCCCAAAAUGUAUGCUAAGUGGAAAAGGAUGUGGAGAUGUACAGACAACUAGGAGGUUGGCUCAGAAGCAGCCAUCCUUUAAAGAGUGCGUAACAGCUCACUAGUCGAAUGACUCUGCGCCGAUAAUUUACCGGGGCUAAGCAUACUACCGAAGCUAUGGAUCCCAAGGGAUGGUAGGGGAGCGUUCCAUGAACGGAGAAGCGUGAUCGAGAGGACGCGUGGAGAUCAUGGAAGAGAGAAUGCCGGUGUGAGUAGCGGAACGUGGGUGAGAAUCCCACGCACCGAAAACCCAAGGUUUCCAGAGGAAGGUUCGUCCGCUCUGGGUAAGUCGGGACCUAAGGCGAGGCCGAAAGGCGUAGUCGAUGGACAACAGGUAGAGAUUCCUGUACCCGUAUAUAUGUGAAGGAAUGACGGAGAGAGGAAGCUGCAGCCAGCGGCUGGAAGAGCUGGUGCAAGCGAGAUAUCGGGAUGGCAGGCAAAUCCACCAUCCGAAACGAGAAGGCGUGAAGCGUACGGAAAGCUACGGCGAGUACGGAAGGCAGUGGAGGAACUUCCAAGAAAAGUUUCUAACGUUAAGUAUAUAUGGCCCGUACCGAAAAUGGACACACAUGGGUGAGGAGAGAAUCCUAAGGUGAGCGAGAGAACUAUAGCUAAGGAACUCUGCAAAAUGACUCCGUAACUUAGGGAGAAGGAGUGCUCAUAGAGAUAUGAGCCGCAGUGAAACGGCCCAAGCGACUGUUUACCAAAAACACAGCUCUCUGCUAAGCCGCAAGGCGAAGUAUAGGGGGUGACGCCUGCCCGGUGCUGGAAGGUUAAGGGGAGGGGUUAACGCAAGUGAAGCCCUGAACUGAAGCCCCAGUAAACGGCGGCCGUAACUAUAACGGUCCUAAGGUAGCGAAAUUCCUUGUCAGGUAAGUUCUGACCCGCACGAAAGGCGUAACGAUUUGGGCGCUGUCUCAGCUGUAGACUCGGUGAAGUCUUAGUACCUGUGAAGAUGCAGGUUACCCGCGACUAGACGGAAAGACCCCAUGGAGCUUCACUGCAGGUUGAUAUUGGGAUUUGAUGCAGCAUGUACAGGAUAGGUAGGAGGCAAGGAGAUGGAUACGCCAGUAUUCAAGGAGCCGCUGUUGGGAUACUACCCCUGUUGUAUUGGAUUUCUAACCGGACGACGUAAAGCCGUUGACGGGACAGUGUCAGUCGGGCAGUUUGACUGGGGCGGUCGCCUCCCAAAGAGUAACGGAGGCGCCCAAAGAUACCCUCAGCUUGGAUGGAAACCAAGCGCAGAGUGCAAAGGCAAAAGGGUGUUUGACUGCGAGACCCACAAGUCGAGCAGGGACGAAAGUCGGGCUUAGUGAUCCGGCGGUGCUGAAUGGAAAGGCCGUCGCUCAACGGAUAAAAGCUACCCUGGGGAUAACAGGCUGAUCUCCCCCAA